GUCUAUUUUUAGACUUCUGUCAUCAGUUUCUGAGAAAUGUCUCAUCAGUGAGUACAAGACUUGCACUGCUACUUGCAGCACGAAAUGUUGACCACAUUCUCAAAAUAGAAGCCGAGUCAAGCCACACAGUUCUGUGAUUUCCACUGUCGAGCAUUAACGACCUUUUCAACGGUGCUGUCAACUCUUCCAGUGUUACCGGAAAGACAGGUGUCAGUAAUAUUCCGGGCGUCAUUAAAAAUUAAAGUGCUACAAAAUGCAACCAGCCGUAGUUGCUGUAUGCGUCACCCCGGCCAUCAAAGCAGGAGUUUGGAUGACCCUUCCUGUUGCUUUGGCUUACGGAGUGAUACUUGGUCUGACGAUUGUAUCCUGUGUUGCUCUAGUUUGUUAUUUUAAAAAUGGAAAGCAAACGCAGAAAACUUCUGUGCUGUCUAAAAAUGAACCCACCAAUAAUUAGACCUGUAGAAAGCGGGACAACAGGGAAACAAUGUACUUGGUGGAUGUACUCAGUGGUGAAGGCUCACUUUAUUUGACAGUGUAAGCCGUUUGAUUCGAUUUUUUCAGUAAUUUUGUUUCCUGCUGCAACUUUUUGCAAAAAAUAGAACGCUUAGAAUGUAGUGAAUAAUUAACUGAAAACAAAUUGAAAAGAUCACAAUGUUGUAUUAGGCUAUCACAGACCAGCCAUGUGCAGCUUUUAGAUAAUUACAUGUCUUCAUUUAGAUGAAAUUGUGGUUCUGUUUACUUUAAAUGGCAUUAUAGAUAUGCAAAUCGAUGAAUAUAAAAACAUAUAAAUAUCUAAGAGCAUGCAAGAGAAGUCAGAAAGUUGGUCAAUCAAAAUGAAGUAAAACAUAUCGAUGUUAUUUUUUCGAUAUCAAUUUUGUUUUUAUGUGAUUUUAUUGCACCGUUCAUAUUCUUGUUUUAUUAUCCAGCAUAUUUUUUCUCUCUUGGUAAGUUUGAUGACUUCUAAGCAGCGCUGUCCUAAACUUUUAACAGAAAGAACCAGAAAGUCAACUGUGCCACAAUAACACUGCAACAUGUUUACAAUUCUUCAGUGAAUGGAAAAAUUAGGAAAUAAGUCAAAGUUGAAUAUGAAGAUAGUUAUUGCCGAUUCAUAAACAAUGAUGUUGUGCAGCUGAUGCCAUUGUAGAGAAAAAAAUCUGUGACCGAUAACAUAUGCGGUUAUCAAGAGAGAGAGUAGUUUGUUCUGAAUCAUUUAAAGUAUUUACUUUCAUUUAAUUUAUAAUUUCUCUCAAUUACUUACUACUUGCCCUCAACUUAUUUUGAUUAGUACCUUCAGGCGUUUUAGUCAAACAGAUGAAAAUCAAAGGAGACAAAAUAUAUAUAAAGCUUGAAAAAAGAGAUUUGAAAAUUAAUAGAAUUUCCCAUCACUUUGUUUUUGUUUUUCUGUUUAUAAAGUAAUAUAUCUUUAAACUGUCUAAGAUAAGAUACACAUUUUGGCAAAUGUAAACUUUUUAUGAGGUUAUUGUCUCAAUGCAGUGUCGACAGUUCUAAAAAAUAAUUUAAGCUCAGUUAUUUUUCUUACGACACUUUCUGUCAUACACUUUAUUGUAACACACUUAAAUAAAAAUAAUUUGAGCACAUGCACUGAUAUUGUAAACAGAAAAUAUAUGCACUUGUUGCAGAUGUAUAGAGGUUAUAUCAGCAGUGGAAUAGUUGUUGCUUUUUGAAUGUUGUUCAAUAAAUGACCACAAACAUCUC